GACGAACGCUGGCGGCGUGCUUAACACAUGCAAGUCGAACGGAAAGGCCUGCUUUCCCUUGUGGAUUGCGGGUGCUCGAGUGGCGAACGGGUGAGUAACACGUGAGUGAUCUGCCCCCAACUUGGGUAUAAGCCUGGGAAACUGGGUCUAAUUCCCGAUAGGACUGCAGGGUGGUGCCUGUGGUGGAAAACGAUUUUCUAGUGGUUGGGGAUGAGCUCGCGGCCUAUCAGCUUGUUGGUGGGGUAAUGGCCUACCAAGGCGGCGACGGGUAGCCGGCCUGAGAGGGUGGACGGCCACAUUGGGACUGAGAUACGGCCCAGACUCCUACGGGAGGCAGCAGUGGGGAAUAUUGGACGAUGGGCGGAAGCCUGAUGCAGCGACGCCGCGUGGGGGAUGACGGCCUUCGGGUUGUAAACUCCUUUCGACCGCGAGGAAGCCACCUGGUUGGAAGGGUGGUGACGGUAGUGGUAGAAGAAGCACCGGCUAACUACGUG
rnacentral:rRNA from 1 species